GCUGGGUAUGCUGGUGUAUACCUGUAGUCCUAGCUACUCAGGAGGCUGAGGCGGGAGGAUCACUUGAGCCUGGGAAGUUGAGGGUGCAGUGAGCCAUGAUCAGGCCACUGCACUCCAGCCUGGGCAACAGAGCAAGACCCUGUCUCAA
ensembl:misc_RNA Metazoa_SRP Metazoan signal recognition particle RNA